rnacentral:rRNA from 1 species
GGGUUGUGAGGUUAAGCGACUAAGCGUACACGGUGGAUGCCCUGGCAGUCAGAGGCGAUGAAGGACGUGCUAAUCUGCGAAAAGCGUCGGUAAGGUGAUAUGAACCGUUACAGCCGGCGAUGUCCGAAUGGGGAAACCCAGUGUGAUUCGUCACACUAUCGUUAACUGAAUACAUAGGUUAACGAGGCGAACCGGGGGAACUGAAACAUCUAAGUACCCCGAGGAAAAGAAAUCAACCGA